rnacentral:tRNA from 1 species
CCGCGCUUAGCUCAGCUGGCUAGAGCACCUGACUGUAGAUCAGGGGGUCCCCGGUUCAAGUCCGGGAGCGCGGACCA